rnacentral:rRNA from 1 species
CUGCUAAUACAUGCAAGUGGAACGCACUUAUCUCACCGGAGCUUGCUCCACCGAGAUAAGUGAGUCGCGAACGGGUGAGUAACGCGUAGGUAACCUGCCUCAUAGCGGGGGAUAACUAUUGGAAACGAUAGCUAAUACCGCAUAACAACAUUUAUCGCAUGGUAGAUGUUUGAAAGGAGCAAUUGCUUCACUAUGAGAUGGACCUGCGUUGUAUUAGCUAGUUGGUGGGGUAACGGCUCACCAAGGCUUCGAUACAUAGCCGACCUGAGAGGGUGAUCGGCCACACUGGGACUGAGACACGGCCCAGACUCCUACGGGAGGCAGCAGUAGGGAAUCUUCGGCAAUGGGGGCAACCCUGACCGAGCAACGCCGCGUGAGUGAAGAAGGUUUUCGGAUCGUAAAGCUCUGUUGUAAGAGAAGAACUGUGAGAAGAGUGGAAAGUUUCUCACUUGACGGUAUCUUACCAGAAAGGGACGGCUAACUACGUGCCAGCAGCCGCGGUAAUACGUAGGUCCCGAGCGUUGUCCGGAUUUAUUGGGCGUAAAGCGAGCGCAGGCGGUUUGAUAAGUCUGAAGUAAAAGGCUGUGGCUUAACCAUAGUACGCUUUGGAAACUGUCAAACUUGAGUGCAGAAGGGGAGAGUGGAAUUCCAUGUGUAGCGGUGAAAUGCGUAGAUAUAUGGAGGAACACCGGUGGCGAAAGCGGCUCUCUGGUCUGUAACUGACGCUGAGGCUCGAAAGCGUGGGGAGCGAACAGGAUUAGAUACCCUGGUAGUCCACGCCGUAAACGAUGAGUGCUAGGUGUUGGGUCCUUUCCGGGACUCAGUGCCGCAGCUAACGCAUUAAGCACUCCGCCUGGGGAGUACGACCGCAAGGUUGAAACUCAAAGGAAUUGACGGGGGCCCGCACAAGCGGUGGAGCAUGUUGGUUUAAUUCGAAGCAACGCGAAGAACCUUACCAGGUCUUGACAUCCCAGUGACCGCCCUAGAAGAUAGGGUUUCUCUUCGGAGCACUGGUGACAGGUGGUGCAUGGUUGUCGUCAGCUCGUGUCGUGAGAUGUUGGGUUAAGUCCCGCAACGAGCGCAACCCCUAUUGUUAGUUGCCAUCAUUCAGUUGGGCACUCUAGCGAGACUGCCGGUAAUAAACCGGAGGAAGGUGGGGAUGACGUCAAAUCAUCAUGCCCCUUAUGACCUGGGCUACACACGUGCUACAAUGGCUGGUACAACGAGUCGCAAGUCGGUGACGGCAAGCUAAUCUCUUAAAGCCAGUCUCAGUUCGGAUUGUAGGCUGCAACUCGCCUACAUGAAGUCGGAAUCGCUAGUAAUCGCGGAUCAGCACGCCGCGGUGAAUACGUUCCCGGGCCUUGUACACACCGCCCGUCACACCACGAGAGUUUGUAACACCCGAAGUCGGUGAGGUAACCUUUUAGGAGCCAGCCGCCUAAGGUGGAAGGG